UCCUACAUGUUCUAGUGGUUAGGAUUCCUGGCUUUCACCCAGGCGGCCCGGGUUCAUUCCCGGUGUAGGAA
rfam:Ciona savignyi cont_29445, whole genome shotgun sequence.